CAAUAACAUGUAGCAUGGGAUAAUGGAAUAGGACCCUGUCUUCCUAUUUUCAGUUGGUAUUGGCAGCGCGAGGACUAGGGUAAUGAUUAAUAGGGAUAGUUGGGGGCAUUAAUAUUUAAUUGUCAGAGGUGAAAUUCUUGGAUUUAUGAAAGAUUAGCUUCUGCGAAAGCAUCUGCCAAGGAUGUUUUCAUUAAUCAAGAACGAAAGUUAGGGGAUCGAAGACGAUCAGAUACCGUCGUAGUCUUAACCAUAAACGAUGCCGACCAGCGAUUAGGAGACGUUGAAUACAAAACACCACCAUCGGCGCGGUCGUCCUUGGCGUCUCGCGUUCGCGCGCGGCGCGAGGGCGGCUUACCCCGGUGGCACCGGUGAAUGACUCCCCUAGCAGCUUGUGA
rnacentral:rRNA from 1 species